CCUUCCUGCGAGUUGGAACUGAGUGGGCAGUGCCUGAGUGCUGGAGACAGGAGACGUAUUGUGUUCGGGCCAUCCUGCCCCAUCUGGAGGUAGUGGAGUGGCAGAAGUGUCUUCAUUCAGCACUCUUAUCCUCCCUCCCCCCCUUCUCCAUCCCUCCAUCGGUCUCUCCCUCUCUCCCUCCCCUCUGCUAGCUGUUAGGUAGUGUUGAGGCAGAAGUGUCUUCAUUCAGUAGGCUCUCAUCCCUCCCUCUCUCCCUCCCUCCUUCUCUUUCUCUUUCCCUCCCCCUUUCUCUCUAUCCCUCCCUCCCCAUCCUCCCUCGCUCGCUCCUUCCCUCCCUUCUGCUGUGUGUCAGUAGUACCCUGUUGCAGUAAAUCAGCCCUAACUAGGCAGGACUUGGCCACAGUCGGUAAGGGCAGAAAGCACUGACUGCUCUUUGUAGGAACCACCACACCAGGGCCACAGGAGGAGGAACAGAGAAGCAGAAGAGAGGAAAAGGAUCUGUAACCUAAAACCAUAAGACAAAAAAAAGACUCUUAAACCGGAAGGCUCUCCAAAAGGAAAAGAACAAAAGGAACGUCUGGUUCUGGCCGGGGUUCUGUCUUGUUUUUAACAUCCACCCAGGAGAGUUCAUCUUAUAGGUAAGAAUGGCCAGCUGUGGCUGCUGUUUCUGGGGGAUCAUGUGGUUGAUCGUGCUGCUGGUGAUUGGCUGGCCUCUGAGCAUCUUCCUGGGGGGGCUGUACGGCUUCAUCGCCCCCCUGACGGCAUGUCUGGGAAUCGACCGCCUGGCAGACCUGCUGAUGGAGGGGGCCAACCUGGGACGCACCUGUGCCCAGAACAUGCGUCACGGGAAACCACUGUGCUGAGGAACGCCUGGCGGCUAGUAUAUACUUGUGAUGAAGCUAACCUGGCGCUACACAUGCACACAAAUCUGUGCAGAGCCUCACCUUUUCCAACACACACACACACACACACACACACACACACCUACCUAUCUGACCUGAACCUAACUUCUUCCAGCAGACAUACACACAUACCUAUCUGACCUGAACCUAACUUCUUCAAGCAGACAUACACAUAUACAUUAAAAUACAGCCACAUCUGUGCAGAGUUUGGCCUGUCCCAAACCACACACCAAUACACACACAUACUGAACCUAACCAACCCCAUUACACACACAGCAUGCCUGUCCCAACCCAUACACACACACACACACACACACACUCAUGCUGAACCUAACCGAUGCCAUUACACACAACAUUCCUGUCCCAACCCACACAAACACAUAAGUUUCAUUCCUCCCCACCCCACACUUGUGCAGAAGAAGCUGAGAAUAAACACAGGUCACCUCAGAUGGUUAUGCACUGGAACAAAAUCCUCCAGAAUAUUAUUAACAGAUUAGAUUAAGCUAAUUUAGAUUAGAUUAACUGUUUUACCUUAACUUGCUUCAGGAUGCUUUAUAACAUGCACAUGAGAGUGGCCAGUAGAGCCAUUGUAAUAUUUCAGUAUUUUAUGUUUACAAAUAUCUGAAUGAGAAAUGAAAUAUUUAAAGGCCAUUGUAUCUUACUUAAUGUUAACAUCAUCUAGAUCCAACAAAGUGCCUGGACAAUUCUAAAAUGUCUUCUUUUUUUUUAAUCAAAACUGUCUUUUGUGGAUAUUUGAAAUGAGAUGUGUCCAAUAUCCACUAUGGUGCUGUAUGCUUGUAUCUCCAUUAAAACCAAAAGUGUCAUGUCUAUGAUAGGCACUCAGUGACUGUCUGAAGUGCCUCUCACUUGUUAUUACAUUAAAUACAGUUUUAGAAUUGAUACAAGUGUUGUUAUGACAAGUUAAGUUUGGUUGGUACUGGGAACAAAUGUACUACAAUAAAUGUAUUUUGAUUAAAAAAAAUGAUGUAAGUAUAGAGCCAAUGAAGUAAAAACCCAUCUGCCUUGAUAUUAAAA